rnacentral:misc_RNA from 1 species
UACUCUCACACUCUCUGAUCCUUUGGAUUGGGAGUGGUGGACUUGGGUGUUGCUGCUGCGCGGUGGCUCACCUCAAAUGCAUUAGUGCAACUCCUAGUUGGACAUAGUACGGCGUGAUAAGUGUCUUCGCCGGCUCCUCGUAAAGAGGGUGGCCGAUCGGGAGCUCUGUUGCUUCAAACUGUCUUCGGACAAUCUUCUGGCG